UUCCUCCUUCAGGCUGAUCUCCUCAGGGGCCUUUCUUACUACCUCCUUCCUCAUUUCCUAGAGAGAGCUUCCCAAGGCUGUCAGCACACGUUCAAGGACAAGUCCAGCGAUUAUUUGGUGCCUCUGUAUACACCUAGCCUGCUGAGGCCAGGGUGCACCUGUUAGGAUGGCUGUUACCGACACCAAAACCGAACGCUCAAACCCUAGAAAGUAAGGAGCGCUGGUUACCUGGAGAGAAAUAAAGCCCCAGGACCGUGCUGGUGGGGAUGUGGAAAGAUGCCGCUGCCGUGGAAACAGCGCAGGAAGCAGUUCUUAAAAAGAAUGAAACAGAAUCAUCAUAGGAUCCAGCAACUCCACGUCUGGGACUAGACCCCGAAGAAUGGAAAGCAGCGGCUCCACAGACAUUAGGACACGCCUGGUCACAGCAGUGUUAUUCACAAAGGCCAAAGUAUGGAACGAAGGGAGAAACAGAAGGUGGUAAGUACGUACGGAGGUGUAGACCUACACCACAGUCUUCAGCGAAGGAAAUUCUCCCGCAGCCUACCGCGUGGAUGAACCUCAAAGACAUUACGCUCAGGGAAAUAAGCCAGUCCCAAGAGAACAAAGACUGUUUGAUUCCACUUGUAUGACUUCCCCAGAGCAGUCAAGUCUAUAAAGACAGAAAGUAGAACGGUGGUUGUCAGGGGCCGAGAGGCGGGUGGGAGCUGGGAAUUAUUGUUUAAUGGGUAUAUUGUUUUAUGGGAAGGCAGAAAUCUCUGGAGAUGGGUGGUGAGGAUGGUUGCACAAUGUGAAUGUGCCUAAUACCUCUGAACUGUACACUUAAAAAUGGUUAAAAAUAUGCAUUUUGUGUUAUGGCGUACAUAACCAUCACCAUGCUUGUGUGUGUAUAUAUAUAUAAAAUAUAUUUAUAUUUAUUUUA